GAUGAACGCUGACAGAAUGCUUAACACAUGCAAGUCUACUUGAAUUUGGGUUUUUUAACUUAGAUUUGGGUGGCGGACGGGUGAGUAACGCGUAAAGAACUUGCCUCACAGCUAGGGACAACAUUUGGAAACGAAUGCUAAUACCUGAUAUUAUGAUUAUAAGGCAUCUUAGAAUUAUGAAAGCUAUAUGCGCUGUGAGAGAGCUUUGCGUCCCAUUAGCUAGUUGGAGAGGUAACGGCUCGCCAAGGCGAUGAUGGGUAGCCGGCCUGAGAGGGUGAACGGCCACAAGGGGACUGAGACACGGCCCUUACUCCUACGGGAGGCAGCAGUGGGGAAUAUUGGACAAUGGACCAAGAGUCUGAUCCAGCAAUUCUGUGUGCACGAUGACGUUUUUCGGAAUGUAAAGUGCUUUCAGUUGGGAAGAAAAAAAUGACGGUACCAACAGAAGAAGUGACGGCUAAAUACGUG
rnacentral:rRNA from 1 species